UACGUAGGGUGCAAGCGUUGUCCGGAAUUAUUGGGCGUAAAGAGCUCGUAGGCGGUCUGUCACGUCGGCUGUGAAAUCCCGAGGCUCAACCUCGGGUCUGCAGUCGAUACGGGCAAACUAGAGUAUUGCAGGGGAGACUGGAAUUCCUGGUGUAGCGGUGAAAUGCGCAGAUAUCAGGAAGAACACCCGUGGCGAAGGCGGCUCUCUGGGACGGUACUGACGCUGAGACGCGAAAGCGUGGGGAGCGAACAGG
rnacentral:rRNA from 1 species